rnacentral:rRNA from 1 species
GACGAACGCCGGCGGCGUGCUUAACACAUGCAAGUCGAACGGAAAGGCCCUGCUUUUGUGGGGUGCUCGAGUGGCGAACGGGUGAGUAACACGUGAGUAACCUGCCCUUGACUUUGGGAUAACUUCAGGAAACUGGGGCUAAUACCGGAUAGGAGCUCCUGCUGCAUGGUGGGGGUUGGAAAGUUUCGGCGGUUGGGGAUGGACUCGCGGCUUAUCAGCUUGUUGGUGGGGUAGUGGCUUACCAAGGCUUUGACGGGUAGCCGGCCUGAGAGGGUGACCGGCCACAUUGGGACUGAGAUACGGCCCAGACUCCUACGGGAGGCAGCAGUGGGGAAUAUAGCACAAUGGGCGGAAGCCUGAUGCAGCAACGCCGCGUGCGGGAUGACGGCCUUCGGGUUGUAAACCGCUUUCGCCUGUGACGAAGCGUGAGUGACGGUAAUGGGUAAAGAAGCACCGGCUAACUACGUG